GCACACACAUGAAUGUAUCUGAUCUUCAUGAAACUGAAAUAGCUCAAAGCACAGGCUCAUAGAGCUUAAAUAUGUUAAGUGGCAGGCCUGCUAUCUCAAGGUCACACUCAGACUCUGCACCGGGGAGCCAUGAUCACAGUUUCUAAUACUGUAAUGGCAACACUUGAUUGCAUAAAAAUGGAGAGGGCUCAUUUGCUCAGGUAAUUAUUCAAGGCUCACCUGAAAGACCCUGAGGCUUGGUCACAUUUUCUUCUUCAUUACUGAGCUGCCUUCCUAGGAAACAUGGG
rnacentral:lncRNA from 1 species